rnacentral:lncRNA from 1 species
UAACUAAAUCAUAAAUUUUAGUGUCAUCCGUAGGUGCCAGCUAUUCCAACAUAUGCCCCAAAUCUGAUAACUCAUCAAGUACUAUCAAUUCUACUCCUUAAAUGUGUCUCUUUUCUCCCUUCUCCUUAGUCCCCCUCUCUUAGAGUAACACAGCUGACUGCUAUUGUUUUCUGCAUGUUCUAGUCCAAUCCAUUCUGUAUACUGCUGCCAGAGAGAUCUUUUCUAAAGCACAAACCUGAUCAUGGAACUGUUUGAUUCACAACCCUUCUGUGACUUUCCAACACUUUCAAAAUGUGGACCACCUUUCAUUUGGUUUCGCUGACAUUCCCUACGUCCUAGCCCACCAUAAUGCUUCUGGUAACAUAAGCACAAAAGCUACAUUUAUAUUCUCAUUCACUGAGGUAUGUAGUGGUGACUAACAAAGAU